AUUGAACGCUGGCGGCAGGCCUAACACAUGCAAGUCGAACGAGUGGCGGACGGGUGAGUAAUGUCUGGGAAACUGCCCGAUGGAGGGGGAUAACUACUGGAAACGGUAGCUAAUACCGCAUACCAUCGGAUGUGCCCAGAUGGUAUUAGCUUGUAGGUGAGGUAACGGCUCACCUAGGCGACGAUCCCUAGCUGGUCUGAGAGGUUGACCAGCCAAACUGGGAAGGAUACACGGGCGAGACGCGUACGGGAGGAAGCAGUGGGGAAUAUGGUACAAUGGGCGCAAGCCUGAUGCAGCAAUGCCGCGUGUAUGAAGAAGGCCUUUGGGUUGUAAAGUACUUUCAGCGGGGAGGCGUUACCCGCAGAAGAAGCACCGGCUAACUCCGUGCCAGCAGCCGCGGUAAUUC
rnacentral:rRNA from 1 species